rnacentral:lncRNA from 1 species
ACAUGAUCCACAUUUAAAGCAAUUUAGUGGUUCAUUUUCAUAAAAAAUACUAGCUUUUACUACACUCAGAAAUCAUUUUUGUCAGCUAGGUGUAAUUUGUUUAAACUUUAUCUGAAAGUCAGAAGUGUUAGUAAUUGACCCAAAGUGAUGGCUAAGAAUCUAAGUCAUUUAUCAGUUAUUCAAAAGAGCAUAAAACUUUUGUUCAUUUGAAU